rnacentral:lncRNA from 1 species
UCAAAGUUUGCUUUGCUAGCUUUUGCAUGAUACCUAAUUAUUUCAGUCCCAACAAAACCAAACGUGAAAGUUGUUUUCCAGCAGGCAACUUUUCUAGUAGCUCUACUCUCGACUUGGAUAAUAUAUCCAAAAAGGUACGCUUUCGGUCAUUCCACAUGCUGCCUAUGUAGAGACAUGUUUAUCUAAAGUGGAUUCUCUUUUUUGCAGUAGGUAUUGAACCUGUUAUGCCCAUUGACUAAGAAGCUAGGGGUGGACACAACAACUACAUGGACCUCUUCCUUUCAUUGGCCAUCACCAUUAGUCGUCUUUGUUAUCACAAUGACCACCACCAUUACCGUCAUCAAAUAUCUCUGUCAUCACAAUUACCAUUCUUAUCAA